CGCGUAGGCGGGAUAACAAGUCAGGUGUGAAAUCCGGGGGCUCAACCCUCGAACUGCACGUGAAACUGUUAUUCUUGAGUGAUGGAGAGGCAAGUGGAAUUCCUAGUGUAGCGGUGAAAUGCGUAGAUAUUAGGAGGAACACCAGUGGCGAAGGCGACUUGCUGGACAUUAACUGACGCUGAGGCGCGAAAGCGUGGGGAGCAAACA
rnacentral:rRNA from 1 species